AGCCACUAGGGACGAUCUCAAAUCUUUGUGAAAUUAAAGACAAUAGUAGAUUGUUGUGACCUGCUUAUCUCAUGCGGUGUAGGAGACUAUUAUGCGGUGAAUGGCGGUGAACGCGGUGAAAGAAUUCAAUAUGAAAUCAACACAGAAUGAUUAGCUGGAUCUCUUUGGGCCAGGUUCAACAUAGCAAUAUUUUAUACUACUUGCAAAGCGAUUUCUCACAUAGAACUAUAAAAAGAGUAAAAAAUAGCCAGAUUAUAUAAAGGGAAAAAAAAUAUUGUGAAUUCCGCUACAAAAUAAGAGUACAACGUGAUUUGAACCCAAACGUUAACAGAGACAGGCCAGACGAACUACCACUAAGCCACCAGGGACGAUCUGAAAUUUUUGUGAAAUUAAAGAAAAUAGUAGAUUGUUGUGACCUGCUUAUCUCAUGCGGUGUAGGAGACUAUUAUGCGGUGAAUAGCGGUGAAUGCGGUGAAAGAAUUCAAUAUGAAAUCAACACGGAAUGAUUAGCUGGAUCUCUUCGGGCCAGGUUCAACAUAGCAAUAUUUUAUACUACUUGAAAAGCGAUUUCUCACAUAGAACUAUAAAAAGAGUAAAAAAUAGCCAGAUUAUAUAAAGGGAAAAAAAAUAUUGUGAGUCCCCUACAAAAAAUGAGUUCAACGUGAUUUGAACCCAAACGUUAAUAGAGACAGGCCAGACGAACUACCACUAAGCCACCAGGGACGAUCUCAAAUUUUUGUGAAAUUAAAGACAAUAGUAGAUUGUUGUGACCUGCUUAUCUCAUGCGGUGUAGGAGACUAUUAUGCGGUGAAUGGCGGUGAACGCGGUGAAAUAAUUCAAUAUGAAAUCAACACAGAAUGAUUAGCUGGAUCUCUUCGGGCCAGGUUCAACAUAGCAAUAUUUUAUACUACUUGAAAAGCGAUUUCUCACAUAGAACUAUAAAAAGAGUAAAAAAUAGCCAGAUUAUAUAAAGGGAAAAAAAAUAUUGUGAGUCCGCUACAAAAUAUGAGUUCAACGUGACUUGAACCCAAACGUUAAUAGAGACAGGCCAGACAAACUACCACUAAGCCACCAGGGACGAGCUGAAAUUUUUGUGAAAUUAAAGACAAUAGUAGAUUGUUGUGACCUGCUUAUCUCAUGCGGAGAAGGAGACUAUUAUGCGGUGAAUGGCGGUGAACGCGGUGAAAGGAUUCAGUAUAAAAUCAACACAGAAUGAUUAGCUCGAUCUCUUCGGGCCAGGUUCAACCUAGCAAUAUUUUCUUCUGCUUGUAAAGCGAUUUCUCACGUAGAACUAUAAAAAGAAUAAAAAAUAGCCAGAUUGUAUAAAGGAAAAAAAUAUUGUGAGUCCGCUACAAAAUAUGAGUUCAACGUGAUUUGAACUCAAACGUUUAUCGAGAUAGGCCGAACGACGUACCACUAAGCCACCAGGGACGAGCUGAAAUUCUUGUGAAAUUAAAGACAAUAGUAGAUUGUUGUGACCUGCUUAUCUCAUGGGGUGAAGGAGACUAUUAUGCGGUGAAUGGCGGUGAAUGCGGUGAAAGGAUUCAAUAUGAAAUCAACACAGAAUGAUUAGCUGGAUCUCUUCGGGCCAGGUUCAACCUAGCAAUAUUUUCUUCUGCUUGUAAAGCGAUUUCUCACAUAAAACUAUAAAAAGAAUAAAAAAUAGCCAGAUUGUAUAAAGGAAAAAAAUAUUGUCAGUCCGCUACAAAAUAUGAGUUCAACGUGAUUUGAACUCAAACGUUUAUCGAGAUAGGCCAAACGACCUACCACUAAGCCACCAGGGACGAGCUGAAAUUCUUGUGAAAUUAAAGACAAUAGUAGAUUGUUGUGACCUGCUUAUCUCAUGCGGUGAAGGAGACUAUUAUGCGGUGAAUGGCGGUGAACACGGUGAAAGGAUUCAAUAUAAAAUCAACACAGAAUGAUUAGCUGGAUCUGUUCGGGCCAGGUUCAACAUAGCAAUAUUUUCUUCUGCUUGUAAAGCGAUUUCUCACAUAAAACUAUAAAAAGAAUAAAAAAUAGCCCGAUUGUAUAAAGGGAAAAAAAUAUUGUGAGUCCGCUACAAAAUAUGAGUUCAACGUGAUAUGAACUCAAACGUUUAUCGAGAUAGGCCAAACGACCUACCACUAAGCCACCAGGGACGAGCUGAAAUUCCUGUGAAAUUAAAGACAAUAGUAGAUUGUUGUGACCUGCUUAUCUCAUGCGGUGAAGGAGAUUCUAUUAGGCGG
rnacentral:lncRNA from 1 species